CCUGGAGCCGCUGGUGGGAGGCAGGGGAGUCCCUGACUGGCUGCUUGCUUUGGGAGCAUGAGGGGCCUGCACAGCUCCCUGGAGCUCCCGGUGGCUACUUGGACCCUGCCAACCAGCCCCCUGCCCCUGCCAUGGGACCUCAUAGGACAAGGGGGCCAGACAGUCCCAGCCCCCACCUUCCCAGAGAUGCCUGGAACGGUCCAGGGAGGAGGAACCCCACCACCAGCUCAGGAGCGCAUGACACUGGAGGAGCUGCAUUAAAAACUCAUGAGAUGCAGCAAAGCAGAGCACAGGGGCAGCAGCGUCAUCCUGGCACCUUCAGGAAGGCUGGACGCCAAGGGGCUGGGCGUCCCGCUGCAAAAGCUGGAAGCCUGGGAGAACCAGCCCGACUACCGCAGGAGGAAGGACGCCAUAAAGAGCAGAAAUUAAUGACAUGCGUGUGCCGGGGUGCGUACAACACAGCUGUUGGAAGUGUCCUGUCUGUGGAGAUGGUGCCAAACUUGCUGAACUGUUUACCUAUUUAUGGCUGAAGUGUCAGGAUGUCUGUAAGUUACUGCAUUUCUUAAAGAAACCUCAGUCCUUGCUCUGAAGUCCUUCGACUGAUUGGAUGAGGCCCACCCACCCUGGGGAGGACUGACCUGCUUUACUCAAAGUCUACAGAUUUCAGGGCUAAUCUCAUCUGAAAAAUACCCUCACAGGAACUCCCAGACGGGGGUUUGACCAAACACCUGGGCACCAUGGCCUUGCCCAAGUGACGCAUCAAAUGAGCCGUCACAGUGGAGAUGUGUGUUCAUUAUCUCAGUCCUCCUGCUUUUUUUCUGUAUUAAAAUUUUCAUUAAAAGGGGAAAACAAA